rnacentral:rRNA from 1 species
GAUGAACGCUGGCGGCGUGCUUAACACAUGCAAGUCGAACGGAAAGGCUCCUGCUUGCAGGGGUACUCGAGUGGCGAACGGGUGAGUAACACGUGGGUGAUCUGCCCUGCACUUCGGGAUAAGCCUGGGAAACUGGGUCUAAUACCGGAUAGGACCACAUUUUGGAUGGUGUGGUGGAAAGUUUUUCGGUGUGGGAUGAGCUCGCGGCCUAUCAGCUUGUCGGUGGGGUAAUGGCCUACCAAGGCGUCGACGGGUAGCCGGCCUGAGAGGGUGUACGGCCACAUUGGGACUGAGAUACGGCCCAGACUCCUACGGGAGGCAGCAGUGGGGAAUAUUGCACAAUGGGCGCAAGCCUGAUGCAGCGACGCCGCGUGGGGGAUGACGGCCUUCGGGUUGUAAACUCCUUUCGCUAGGGACGAAGCGCAAGUGACGGUACCUGGAGAAGAAGCACCGGCUAACUACGUG